rnacentral:snoRNA from 1 species
GGGUCAGUGAUGAAAUCUUUGCCUUGUCUCUAGAGAGGUAUUGUCUUAAAAGUCUUCCACAAUAGAGUUAUGUUGAGGUCA